ensembl:scaRNA Gm26215 predicted gene, 26215
GACCUUGUGUCCACUGAGCUGUGGGAAAGCUUCCUCCUCAGCAGCACUUGAGCUUGAGGCCAAGAUCAGUCCUUGAGGACUGUGGAUCAUCAUAAGGAUGGCCAUGGCAGGGAACGCCAUUUUCCCACCUCAGAUGUUC